UACGUAGGUGGCAAGCGUUGUCCGGAUUUACUGGGCGUAAAGGGCGUGCAGGCGGUUUGUCUAGUCUAGGGUGAAAGCUCCCGGCUUAACUGGGAGGGGUCUUCGGAUACUGGCCGACUUGAGGAGAGCAGAGGUGAGUGGAAUUCUCGGUGUAGUGGUGAAAUGCGCAGAUAUCAGGAGGAACACCGGUGGCGAAGGCGGAUCUCUGGGCCAUUACUGACGCUGAGGAGCGAAAGCGUGGGGAGCGAACAGG
rnacentral:rRNA from 1 species